UACGAACGGUCCAAACGUUAUUCGGAAUCACUGGGCUUAAAGCGUCCGUAGGCGGCUCGGAAAGUAGGGUGUGAAAUCCCACGGCUCAACCGUGGAAUUGCGCUCUAAACUAUCGAGCUAGUGGGAGAUAGAGGUGAGCGGAACUGAUGGUGGAGCGGUGAAAUGCGUUGAUAUCAUCAGGAACACCGGAGGCGAAGGCGGCUCACUGGGUCUUUUCUGACGCUGAGGGACGAAAGCUAGGGGAGCGAACGGG
rnacentral:rRNA from 1 species